GAUGAACGCUGGCGGCGUGCCUAAUACAUGCAAGUCGAGCGAACAGACGAGGAGCUUGCUCCUCUGACGUUCGCUGCCGACUGGUGAGUAACACGUGGAUAACCUACCUAUAAGACUGGGAUUACUUCGGGAAACCGGAGCUAAUACCGUAUAAUCUAUUGAACCGCAUGGUUCAAUAGUGAACGACGGUUUUGCUGUCACUUAUCGAUGGAUCCGCGCCGCAUUAGCUAGUUGGUAAGGUAACGGCUUACCAAGGCAACGAUGCGUAGCCGACCUGAGAGGGUGAUCGGCCACAAAAGGACCGAGACCCGGUGCAGACGCGCACGGGAGGCAGCAGUAGGGAACCAUCCGCAAUGGGCGAAAGCUUGACGGAGCAACGCCGCGUGAGGGAUGAAGGUCUACGGAUAGUAAAACGCUGUUAAGAGGGAAGAAGACAGGGGUAAGUAACUAGGAACGUCUUGACGGUACCUAAUCAGAAAGCAACGGCUAACUACGAG
rnacentral:rRNA from 1 species